AUUAUUAAAAUUAAUGGAUGAAAGAGGCAUGCUCUGUGUGGUGAUCCUGGGUGCUUGGGUUGUUUUGCUGCUGCUUCUCGCUCCUUCCACCAGGGGCCGCCUGGUGGAUGAUCUCUGGUGGGCGUGACCGGCGACGCUGGGAUCCUCACACCUGUCGGAGAUUGUCUCAUCUCCGCAGAGGCUUAAGAGUGGAGUCAGCCAACACAUCGAUGCCAGAGUGUUAACCAGUAAUGACAACUCCCUCGUGACGUCGUGGUUCGACCACUCGAGGCUUUUGAGCUCCUGGCUGUACCUGGCGUACUUACCCCUCGUUGGCUGCCUUCCUCGUUCUGCCCCGGUGAGCUGAGGUCCGUAUCUGUCCGCCCUCCAACGCCGUCCGCUGGAUCUUCCCAAGACACUAGCUGGUUCCGCAGCAGAACCCCACACCCGAAAACACCCCGGGAAAUCCCAGUAUCCACCCCCGCUUACCUGCCGCCUGACCUACCCGCUCCAGUCGCCGCUCCCCCAGGAACAGUUUAUCUGUGCUGUUGUUGUGCUUAUAUUAAACAUCUUUUACUGAU